rnacentral:rRNA from 1 species
ACUCCUACGGGAGGCAGCAGUGAGGAAUAUGGGCAAUGGAGGAAACUCUGACCCAGCCAUGCCGCGUGCAGAAGACGGCCCUAUGGGUUGUAAAGUGUUUUAUACAGGAAGAAACAGUUCUACGUGUAGAACUUGACGGU